UUUUUUAUGUUUCUUUUUCAGAACUUGGGAUUUUUUUUUUGGACCGACCCAAAUCAAUUUUCCUCCGGGAGCCGGGGAUCCCCUUUUCAUUUCUCCUUCUGAACUCUACACUUUGAAUAUUUAAUGAACUUGGGAUUUUUUUUUGGACCGACCCAAAUCAAUUUUCCUCCGGGAGCCGGGGAUCCCCUUUUCAUUUCUCCUUCUGAACUCUACACUUUGAAUAUUUAAUGAACCUGAAUUUUUCCUUCCUUCGACCUUAACAAAGUGUCCCUCUAGAGCCAGAACCUGGAUUUUUUUUUUGGAUCUACCCGAAUCAAUUUUCCUCCGGGAGCCGGGGAUCCCCUUUUCGUUUUGGUUUUUGAAUUUUAGACUUAAAAUAUUUAAUGAACUGGGAUAUUUUUUUCAUCUAUCAAAAUCAAAAUUGUUUCAGG